UACAGAGGUCUCAAGCGUUGUUCGGAUUCAUUGGGCGUAAAGGGUGCGUAGGCGGCGCGGUAAGUCGGGUGUGAAAUCUUGGAGCUUAACUCCGAAACUGCAUUCGAUACUGCCGUGCUUGAGACCGGGAGAGGUGAGUGGAAUUCCCAGUGUAGCGGUGAAAUGCGUAGAUAUUGGGAGGAACACCAGUGGCGAAGGCGGCUCACUGGACCGGUACUGACGCUGAGGCGCGAAAGCGUGGGGAGCAAACGGG
rnacentral:rRNA from 1 species